GGCUGAUUGUGCUAAACAUUUACGGGAAAAUAACCACCUCCUCUUCUCUGACAACUACUUAAACUCCAUUGAUACUGAAAUCCAGGAGAGAUCUAACUGCAAGGGCAACCUGGAUGAGUGUUUAUUGAAAUAAGAAAAGCACCAGCAAAGAUAUUUCCAUUCUGAUCAGACCUAGCAUAUGAGACAAAGUAGAUUACAUCAUCCAGCAG
rnacentral:lncRNA from 12 species